UUUUUUUUAUCUGGAAAGAUUUGUUUCUCCAUCUCUAGGCAAAACUGGGUUUCUAAUAUAUUUGGACAUUACCAGCAUCAGAAACACACAGGAUUCAUUUCCACUUUAAUCAUGGAUUUGGGAUUGAUCUGUUCCUGGAGUUUACAGCCAUAAAACACUGUUUUGAAGUGAUUAAGUGUAAUGUGAUGGGUUUAUGAGACACAGCUGAUCAUCUGACAAUCACUGCUUAUAUAAGAAGAUCUGGAGGAGUUUCAGCUGGAAAAUGUUCAGGCGAGUCUCUGGUCUGUGUGGAAAAACACAGAGAAUCUGCUGCUUUGUGAAGAAACCAAUUCAUGCUUGAGAGUUUAGAAUUUAGACUGAGCUCUGAGUCAUGAGUUUAUGAAUCACUUUUUUCCAGACUUCAGAAAACUCCCAUCAAGAAGACUGUGUCCAUCGUUUCUGCUUCUGGAGGAGCACAGAAACCAUCACAGAGCUGAAGGAAAAUAUCCAAAGUUUUCUGAGCAUUUUGGGUUCCUGUCGAUCAACUGAUGUUCAUCUUUGACUGAUCUGGUUCAUGUUCUCUGGGUUCAGCAGUGAAUUCAAGCUCCAGCUCUCUCCAGACUCUGUAAAGCUGUGUUUGGUGCUGACUGCACUCUAAUGUGACUGUUUGGUUCUGACUCCGCUCUAGUGUGACUCUGUAAAGCUGUGUUUGGUUCUGACUCCGCUCUAGCGUGACUCUGUAAAGCUGCGUUUGGUGCUGACUCCGCUCUAAUGUGACUCUGUAAAGCUGUGUUUGGUUCUGACUCCGCUCUAGCGUGACUCUGUAAAGCUGCGUUUGGUGCUGACUCCGCUUUAGUGUGACUCUGUAAAGCGGUGUUUGGUGCUGACUCCGCUCUAGUGUGACUCUGUAAAGCUGUGUUUGGUGCUGACUCCGCUUUAGUGUGACUCUGUAAAGCUGCGUUUGGUUCUGACUCCGCUCUAGUGUGACUCUGUAAAGCUGCGUUUGGUGCUGACUCCGCUCUAGUGUGACUCUGUAAAGCUGUGUUUGGUUCUGACUCCGCUCUAGUGUGACUCUGUAAAGCUGCGUUUGGUGCUGACUCCGCUCUAGUGUGACUCUGUAAAGCUGUGUUUGGUUCUGACUCCGCUCUAGUGUGACUCUGUAACGCUGCGUUUGGUGCUGACUCCGCUCUAAUGUGACUCUGUAAAGCUGUGUUUGGUUCUGACUCCGCUCUAAUGUGACUCUGUAAAGCUGCGUUUGGUUCUGACUCUGCUCUAAUGUGACUCUGUAAAGCUGCGUUUGGUUCUGAUUCCGCUCUAGUGUGACUCUGUAAAGCUGCGUUUGGUUCUGACUCCGCUCUAGUGUGACUCUGUAACGCUGUGUUUGGUGCUGACUCCGCUCUAGUGUGACUCUGUAACGCUGUGUUUGGUUCUGACUCCGCUCUAGUGUGACUCUGUAAAGCUGCGUUUGGUUCUGACUCCGCUCUAAUGUGACUCUGUAAAGCUGUGUUUGGUUCUGACUCCGCUCUAGUGUGACUCUGUAACGCUGCGUUUGGUGCUGACUCCGCUCUAGUGUGACUCUGUAACGCUGCGUUUGGUUCUGACUCCGCUCUAGCGUGACUCUGUAAAGCUGUGUUUGGUGCUGACUCCGCUCUAGUGUGACUCUGUAAAGCUGCGUUUGGUUCUGACUCUGCUCUAGUGUGACUCUGUAACGCGGAGUUUGGUGCUGACUCCGCUCUAAUGUGACUCUGUAACGCUGCGUUUGGUGCUGACUCCGCUCUAAUGUGACUCUGUAACGCUGCGUUUGGUGCUGACUCCGCUCUAGUGUGACUCUGUAACGCUGCGUUUGGUUCUGACUCCGCUCUAGUGUGACUCUGUAACGCUGUGUUUGGUGCUGACUCCGCUCUAGUGUGACUCUGUAACGCUGUGUUUGGUUCUGACUCCGCUCUAGUGUGACUCUGUAAAGCUGCGUUUGGUUCUGACUCCGCUCUAGUGUGACUCUGUAACGCUGUGUUUGGUGCUGACUCCGCUCUAGUGUGACUCUGUAAAGCUGCGUUUGGUUCUGACUCCGCUCUAAUGUGACUCUGUAAAGCUGCGUUUGGUGCUGACUCCGCUCUAAUGUGACUCUGUAAAGCUGCGUUUGGUGCUGACUCCGCUCUAGUGUGACUCUGUAAAGCUGUGUUUGGUUCUGACUCCGCUCUAGCGUGACCCUGUAACGCUGUGUUUGGUGCUGACUCCGCUCUAAUGUGACUCUGUAACGCUGUGUUUGGUGCUGACUGCGCUGUAGCGUGACUCUGGAAAGCUGUGUUUGAUUCUCUGUGGUUUCUGAAGCUGGACAGCUGCUGUAACUGUCUGCUGUCUGUCGUGUGUUUAAGAGCAGUUCUGUAUUUCAGAAGAAUCUCAUACAGCUUCAGAUUAACAUGAAGGUGAAUGAUGACAGUUUAAUUUCUCUUCGAGAGUAAAUGCUCAGACUGUGGUGUUUGAGUCUCAGCAGCAGAUGUCAGUGUUUCUCUUUCACUCAAACAUGAUUCAGUUCAUUCCUCAGGCUUCACUUCUGAUGGAGCUGCUGGAUUUCACCUGUGCUGCUGUUUUCUCGGCUUUUACGGCGAGGUUAAACAUUUUAAGAGGUGUCAGAACAGAUAAAAAUAUUUCCAGUGUAGAUUAAGGAGUUCACAUAUUAUAUCCACAGACUUAUAUCCAGCAUCACUCAAACUGAAGGCCUGGUUUGGUUUUGGCUCUGGACGAAGCGUCUCAGCAGGUGCGCUGCAAACAUCACAAUAUCAAAGACCUGCAGCACUGAAAAAAAGAGAAAAGAUUAUAGCCCCAAUUAAACUUAGCAUAGUUAAAUUUUGCUCAUUUAAAUAAUUUGUUUUGUUUUUGAUGUUAAUUAAGAAAUAUUGUUUUAUGCAAAUUACACCUUUUUUAACCAAGCUGAAUUAAGGUCAGUUAGGAAAAAAAUAAGUUGGUUCUUUGCGGAUGCGCAUAAAUGCACCGUUUCCUUCUUGCAAAACGAAGGAAAACUUUGAUGUACUGCCUUUUGGACGGACAGGCGUUGCCCCCCCCCCCACAUACCCCC
ensembl:lncRNA